rnacentral:tRNA from 1 species
GCCUGUGUAGCUCAGUGGAUAGAGCGUUGGCCUGCAAACUGAAAGGUCCCAGGUUUGAUUCUGGUCAAGGGCA